rnacentral:rRNA from 1 species
UGCCCUACGGGAGGCAGCAGUGAGGAAUAUUGGUCAAUGGGCGGGAGCCUGAACCAGCCAAGUCGCGUGAGGGACGACGGUCCUAUGGAUUGUAAACCUCUUUUGUCGGGGAACAAAGGCGCCCACGGGUGGGCGGAUGAGUGUACCCGAAGAAAAAGCAUCGGCUAACUCCGUGCCAGCAGCCGCGGUAAUACGGAGGAUGCGAGCGUUAUCCGGAUUUAUUGGGUUUAAAGCGAGUGCAGGCGGUGCAAUA